AAACUUACUUGGUGCUGAGUCCAGGGUGAUCAAGAAGGCUCUGGCUCCAGGUGGAGACUCGCCAUUGCACUCCGGCGUGUUGA
rnacentral:snRNA from 10 species